ensembl:lncRNA
UUAUCAUUCAUGCUCCACUCUUCCCUUUCUCAUUGUGAUGGACCGAGCAGUGAAGGAAACUUAGGCACAGGUUAAAGUCCAAAAAAAUUAUUUUUUAUUUAACCCAAAAAACAUAAGUGGUUAAAUUAUGCAAAAAGAAUCAAAGUCUUGGGCCCUUAAAAGAGGUCAAAAUAACAGAACUCUACUCAAAGUUGACAACACUACUGAUAACUCAAACAAACUGACCUAACUUAACGAGACAAAGGGGAAACUUAAAUAGUGGCUGAUCAGCCCACAAAAACAGGAGAAGGGGGUAAAACACACAAAACCUAACUAAACCAAACAUAAUGAACUCCAAUUCCCCCCCCAUGGUCCCGAGUUAUGGCAUGAACCAAUUUGCAGUUUUCCUUUAAAGCUCGCUCCGCCCCUUUUCCACCUCUUGGCUCCUUAAUCAAGAGACUGGAACAGCUGCAACUAAGGUACACCAGAGCGACAUUAUCUCCUUCCUCCAGACCGCCUCUCUCCAUCAGCAGAGCUGCCACUCCCUCCGCCGUCUGCAGACAGGUGAGAGAGCUGGACACUGCCCCCUGCAGGAGGUGAGAGAGGGGAACGGUGUGAGCCAUCAAGAAGCCACCUGCCACACUCAAAGGACAAAGACUGCAGUUCAUCUAACGGCCAGUUCAUCCACAGUUAUGGAUAAUUAUUAUUCCGUUUUCUACUUGCUUGAAUUUUUCUACAAUUUUUUAAGGUGCCCAGUUGUGCGUGGGUGUGCUGGUACCAGAGAGCUGAGCAGGGUUUGGAGAGGACGGGGUCCUGUGUGGUCUGAGCUCUCCACUGCAAACCUCGGACAGGAACAGAAACUGCAAGACAGACAUAAACACUUCUUUUACACACACUUUGAUGGCCUAACCUCUGUGUUUUUUACAUUAAUGUGUUUACGUGUGAUGUACAUGACUAUUGUGCAUCUGGCUCAGUGUUUGAUAUUGUAAAGCAAAGUCAAUAACAGCAAAAAUUUAAUAUUUUACUUUUAUUUCUGUCGCCCUCCUGCAUCAAUCCCAGAAUCACCCACACCCUUUACCACAUUUGCUUACUGUAG